rnacentral:lncRNA from 1 species
UCAUUGGGACAGCCCUAACCCAGCUGCUGAAUGCCAGAGGCCACGAAGUGACGUUGGUCUCCCGAAAGCCCGGGCCCGGCCGGAUCACGUGGGAUGAGCUCGCUGCAUCGGGGCUGCCGAGCUGCGAUGCCGCCGUCAACCUGGCCGGAGAGAACAUCCUCAACCCUCUCCGAAGGUCAGCCCGGGCCCUAAAGCUGAUACCCACUAGAGCACAGGGAGGACAGUGCCCCACUGAUGAGAACCUAUGGAAUGAAACCUUCCAAAAAGAGGUAAUCGGCAGCCGCCUAGAGACCACCCAAUUGCUGGCUAAAGCCAUCACCAAAGCCCCACAACCCCCCAAGGCCUGGGUCUUAGUCACAGGUCUUACUACCAGCCCAGUCUGACUGCGGAGUAUGAUGAAGACAGCCCAGGAGGGGACUUUGACUUUUUCUCCAACCUCGUAACCAAAUGGGAAGCUGCAGCCAGGCUUCCUGGAGAUUCUACACGCCAGGUGGUGGUGCGCUCAGGGGUUGUGCUGGGCCGUGGGGGUGGUGCCAUGGGCCACAUGCUGCUGCCCUUUCGCCUGGGCCUGGGGGGCCCCAUCGGCUCAGGCCACCAAUUCUUCCCCUGGAUACACAUCGGGGACCUGGCAGGAAUCCUGACCCAUGCCCUUGAAGCAAACCACGUGCACGGGGUCCUGAAUGGAGUGGCUCCAUCCUCCGCCACUAAUGCUGAGUUUGCCCAGACCUUGGGUGC